rnacentral:rRNA from 1 species
ACCUGACGCAGCGACGCCGCGUGGGUGAUGAAGGCCUUCGGGUCGUAAAGACCCUGUCAAGAGGGACGAAACCUCGUCGACCUAACACGUCGGCGACCUGACGGUACCUCUGAAGGAAGCACCGGCUAACUCCGUGCCAGCAGCCGCGGUAAUACGGAGGGUGCAAGCGUUGUUCGGAGUCACUGGGCGUAAAGCGCGUGUAGGCGGCCUCCUCAGUCUGGUGUGAAAGCCCGGGGCUCACCCCCGGAAGUGCAUUGGAUACUGGGAGGCUGGAGUACCGGAGAGGAGGGUGGAAUUCCUGGUGUAGCGGUGAAAUGCGUAGAUAUCAGGAGGAACACCGGUGGCGAAGGCGGCCCUCUGGACGGAUACUGACGCUGAGACGCGACAGCGUGGGGAGCAAACAGGAUUAGAUACCCUGGUAGUCCACGCCGUAAACGAUGGGUACUAGGUGUUCGGGGUAUUGACCCCCUGAGUGCCGCAGCUAACGCAUUAAGUACCCCGCCUGGGGACUACGGCCGCAAGGCUA